GACGAACGCUGGCGGCGUGCUUAACACAUGCAAGUCGUACGGUAAGGCCCUUUCGGGGGUACACGAGUGGCGAACGGGUGAGUAACACGUGAGUAACCUGCCCACAACUUUGGGAUAACGCUAGGAAACUGGUGCUAAUACUGGAUAUGUGCUCCUGCUGCAUGGUGGGGGUUGGAAAGCUCCGGCGGUUGUGGAUGGACUCGCGGCCUAUCAGCUUGUUGGUGGGGUAGUGGCCUACCAAGGCGGCGACGGGUAGCCGGCCUGAGAGGGUGACCGGCCACAUUGGGACUGAGAUACGGCCCAGACUCCUACGGGGGGCAGCAGGGGGGAAUAUUGCACAAGGGGCGCAAGCCUGAUGCAGCAACGCCGCGUGCGGGAUGACGGCCUUCGGGUUGUAAACCGCUUUCAGCAGGGACGAAGCUUUUUGUGACGGUACCUGCAGAAGAAGCACCGGCUAACUACGUG
rnacentral:rRNA from 1 species